UACGGGGGGGGCAAGCGUUGUUCGGAAUUACUGGGCGUAAAGGGUUCGUAGGUGGCCCGCUAAGUCACACGUGAAAUCCCUCAGCUUAACUGGGGAACUGCGUGUGAGACUGGCAGGCUCGAGUGCAGGAGAGGAACGCGGAAUUCCAGGUGUAGCGGUGAAAUGCGUAGAUAUCUGGAGGAACACCGGUGGCGAAGGCGGCAUCCUGGACCGGCAUUGACGCUGAUCAGCGAAAGCCAGGGGAGCAAACGGG
rnacentral:rRNA from 1 species